UUAAUCAUCGUUCUCUAAUCGUAAUCUCUCAGAGUGACCGUAGUUUUUACACGGUUUACACAGCUCGUGAACGUUGUACCACGUAUUGUUAAGCUUUGUUUUAUUUCAGUUCACACGCUGAAAAGCUAGGAGGUGUGAAUCCUAUAGUCUCGCGGGUGUCGUAGCGGACAGUUGUGUUUGUUGUCGACGUGUUGGGGAGAUAAACGAUUUCUGCCAAUAAAUCGUCGAAUAAUUGUUCAACAACGCAGUUUUUUGUACCAUCUGGAAUUCACCAAUAGUGUUGGUCUUGUUCUGGAUCUGGUUUGACGCGAUAGACCAUUUCAUAAGUAGAGGCUGUUUCAGAGGAGGUGAACAUAAAAUUUCAAGCUGAGUUCAGUAUACAGAAAUUGAACAGACACAUUUCAAGGUUAUUUCACUAAAAACGGUCGCCAAUUUGUACAUUAAAGACAGUUAAUUACGCUCCAUACUAAAGGAAGAUUCCUAAUUGAAAAGGUCUAAGAAGAUACCAGAAGAAAGAUGUUGCGAUUUUCUCGCUUUUUCCUUGCUAUCUUCGUGCUCAUUGCACUGAUGCAUCUCUCUCAGGGAGAGACCACAACAGAGUUACCCUUCCUCUUGCAGAGAAUGAAGCAAGGCCUUAAAAUAGCAGAUGCCAAAAUACACAACACUGUGAUCGAUUUAACGACACACACGACUACAGAGACGAGUAUUGCGACAAUGGAAGAAGAUGAUUUUGAACUGACUAACAGGCAAUUAAUUGUAGUACCCGACAGAUGCCCGUCCGGCUCUGAUCUCAUACGGGGAAGCUGUCGUACAAGAGUUUAUUGAGAUGAAAAAUGUAAAA